rnacentral:rRNA from 1 species
CCUACGGGAGGCAGCAGUAGGGAAUCUUCCACAAUGGGCGAAAGCCUGAUGGAGCAACGCCGCGUGGGUGAAGAAGGUCUUCGGAUCGUAAAACCCUGUUGUCAGAGAAGAAAGAGCGUGAGAGUAACUGUUCACGCUUCGACGGUAUCUAACCAGAAAGCCACGGCUAACUACGUGCCAGCAGCCGCGGUAAUACGUAGGUGGCAAGCGUUAUCCGGAUUUAUUGGGCGUAAAGGGAACGCAGGCGGUCUUUUAAGUCUGAUGUGAAAGCCUGCGGCUUAACCGGAGAAGUGCAUUGGAAACUGGGAGACUUGAGUGCAGAAGAGGUGAGUGGAACUCCAUGUGUAGCGGUGAAAUGCGUAGAUAUAAGGAGGAACACCAGUGGCGAAGGCGGCUCUCUGGUCUGUAACUGACGCUGAGGUUCGAAAGCGUGGGUAGCAAACAGGAUUAGAUACCCUAGUAGUC